UAUAAGGAAUCAAGAGCAUGUAUCCCUGGUUUGAGAGAUGUUUCUGUAACAAAUAUCUUUGUUUUACUUGCUUAGCAAAUACCCUUUCUAAAUGUCAAUUCAAACUGAUAAUAGAGAGCACAUAGGUUAGGGCUCCUAAAUAUAUCAGAAACUCCAAUAACUCCCAGGUUUCACCCUAGAAUCCUGUUCAGCCAAUGUAUGUUCAGACUGGGGCUGUGAAUCCAAAAGGGAUGCUGGCCCAGAUUUAAUACUAGUUCAAGCUACUGGUCAAACACAUUGAAGCUAUUACAGUUUCAGAGGGUUCCCUGGUAAUCUGGAGUUCAGGGAGGGAUGGGGGCUGAAGUUGCUUUGUGACUAUUUCUUACUAUGAUCACUCAUUGUUAUUUGUGCAGUUGCUCAAUGAAUUGCUUGUUGUUGAUUCACUCAGGCUAUGUGGGCAGCAAUGUGGUCAAAAUGGGCUUCAAGCCAAGCCACCUGGGUUCUAGUCCCAGCUCAGUUGUUAAUCCACUGGAUACUAACAUAUAUUGAUUAGUCACAUGUCCCCAACCUGGGUCAUCUUCCUGUUUAUCCUACUAUAUUCUUCAAUAAGGAUUUCAAGAGGACAUACGCUAGAACAGGAUGUAUCAGAUAUGCUGGAUGAGACAAGUUUUUUCCAAGGCAUGAAAAGAAGCUGUAUGUCAAGGGUCCAUUCUACAAGUACAGUCACAGCCAAUUACAGUCCCAAGCAGCAAGAAGGAGGGAACAAAGAUAUUGACACUUCUCCUUCCCUGCAACCUACUCCCCACCAAUUAAAAUUCUGAGAAGCUCAAAGGAGACUGAAAAGUGAGAAGCAAAGAUAGUAUCUGAAAAGUCUAGGAGGAUAAAUGUGGGAAAGUCCAGUCAUGUAUCUCCACCCAUGGAUAUGUUGUAUAUGAUCACACAGACACAGGAAAUGGGAAACUGUACAAGUACUUUGAACUGCUGAAUGUCACUGAAUAAAAAACCACAACAGUAUGUUAUAUGAUUUCUGUGUAUCAGAGUAUCUCAUUCCAAUGCUGACCUAGAAGAUGGGAGAAGUGGCACCUUAGCAGUACUUGCCUAUUAUCCAGGUUCUUUGAAUUAGAUCUCUUCAUUACCUGAGCAAAUAAAUC